rnacentral:rRNA from 1 species
GAUGAACGCUGGCGGCGUGCCUAAUACAUGCAAGUCGAGCGAACAGAUGAGGCGCUUGCUCCUCUGUCGUUAGCGGCGGACGGGUGAGUAACACGUGGAUACCCUACCUAUAAGACUGGGAUAACUUCGGGAAACCGGAGCUAAUACCGGAUAAUCUAUUGAACCGCAUGGUUCAAUAGUGAAAGACGGUUUUGCUGUCACUUAUAGAUGGAUCCGCGCCGCAUUAGCUAGUUGGUAAGGUAACGGCUUACCAAGGCGACGAUGCGUAGCCGACCUGAGAGGGUGAUCGGCCACACUGGAACUGAGACACGGUCCAGACUCCUACGGGACGCAGCAGUAGGGAAUCUUCCGCAGUGGGCGAAAGCCUGACGGAGCAACGCCGCGUGAGUGAUGAAGGUCUUCGGAUCGUAAAACUCGGUUAUUAGGGAAGAACAAAUGUGUAAGUAACUAUGCACGUCUUGACGGUACCUAAUCAGAAAGCCACGGCUAACUACGUG